rnacentral:rRNA from 1 species
GAUGAACGCUAGCGGCAGGCUUAAUACAUGCAAGUCGUGGGGCAGCGCAGGUAGCAAUACUGGGCGGCGACCGGCAAACGGGUGCGGAACACGUACACAACCUUCCGAGAAGUGGGGAAUAGCCCAGAGAAAUUUGGAUUAAUACCCCGUAACAUAACGAUGUGGCAUCACAUUGUUAUUAUAGCUUCGGCGCUUCUUGAUGGGUGUGCGGCUGAUUAGAUAGUUGGCGGGGUAACGGCCCACCAAGUCUACGAUCAGUAGCUGAUGUGAGAGCAUGAUCAGCCACACGGGCACUGAGACACGGGCCCGACUCCUACGGGAGGCAGCAGUAAGGAAUAUUGGUCAAUGGACGCAAGUCUGAACCAGCCAUGCCGCGUGAAGGAUUAAGGUCCUCUGGAUUGUAAACUUCUUUUAUCUGGGACGAAAAAAGGCGAUUCUUCGUCACUUGACGGUACCAGAUGAAUAAGCACCGGCUAACUCCGUGCCAGCCGCCGCCGUAAUAC